GCUUGUCUCAAAGAUUAAGCCAUGCAUGUCUAAGUAUAAACGACUUUAUACUGUGAAACUGCGAAUGGCUCAUUAUAUCAGUUAUAGUUUAUUUGAUGGUCCUUACUACUUGGAUAACCGUAGUAAUUCUAGAGCUAAUACAUGCAUCAAACCCCGACUUCUGGAAGGGGUGUAUUUAUUAGAUUGAAACCAAUGCGGGGUAACCCGGUGUUUGGUGAUUCAUAAUAACUUUCGGAUCGCAUUUGCGAUGCAUCAUUCAAGUUUCUGCCCUAUCAGCUUUGGAUGGUAGGGUAUUGGCCUACCAUGGCAUUAACGGGUAACGGAGGAUUUGGGUUCGAUUCCGGAGAGGGAGCCUGAGAAAUGGCUACCACAUCCAAGGAAGGCAGCAGG
rnacentral:rRNA from 1 species